rnacentral:RNase_P_RNA from 2 species
CUGACACCGAUCUCAAACGUUCGCGUCUCCGAUCGCUCAGACCAACAUUUUGCAGAUGAGAAAUUCGGAGUACCACUCUUCAAUCACCCAACCCUCGCCUGCUUCCCAUUCUCGCAAGAGAGUGAUAUGGACAGGCUAAGGGACUGCCCGCGAGGGCCUACCGCGCAAGCGGUCUGCAAUUUGGCAUCAGAAAAACCCGGGGCUCCCCAGAUCUCUGAUGUGUGUGGAGGUUUCCCCUUGGAAAAGCCGUUGCGAAGAUUGUAGCACAUCGUCCGGCAUCGACGGUGGAAGUUACUUGAGUGCAAUCGCGGCGGGACCUUUUCUUCAUGCUUGCUUGCAAGUGUGGAUGGUUUCAAUUCGAUUCCGAUUAUACUGGGGGUCGG